UACAAAAACAAAACCAAAAACAAACAAAAAA
rnacentral:piRNA from 1 species